ensembl:lncRNA
CCGAGCGGCUCCCGGCCCUCCGGCAGCGCUGCGACCUCGCAUCUCCGGGGAGCAUCGCUGGAAUUCCCGGAGUUUUCCUUACAAAAAGGCUUCACUCUGCGCAAGGAAACAGCAGAGCCCUUCCCCCAGGCUUACUGCAGAGGUUGGAUCUUGCUGCCACCGCUGUUGAGAUGAAUGGGCAGCGCAAGGAAUUGAUGCUCGCUGCUGUUUCCAAAGUGAAGGAGGGUUUUUUAAAGCAGAGCACGUGAGCAAAGAUGUAAGCGAGAGCGCAGAGAUGGCCCAGGUUCUUCUGGUUUGGGGGAGGAGAGCUGAGCGUGCCCUGCUCUUGCAGGUGGCACUGCCCUGCCUUCAGCAGUGGGAAACUGUUAAUAAUCCUACAGCUGUUCUAAGAGCAUCUCAGGCAAUAGGGUGAGUCACAGGCCGGAGAGCAGCACUGCAGCAGCGUGCACUGAAACAAACAGUGCGGUGUUCUGUGUAGGCUUGGAGGACACAGAAGCUUUCUGACGUAGAAACCGGUGCAGGUGUGGAGGCAGAGACCUCAGAGAGCUGGCUGUUCUCAGAGCAAACAGAGCUCGGGGAAGGAGAGGCCUCGUUGGGUGUGUUGGUGAUAGGGAAAUGAUGUGCCGGGGUCAGGGGGUGUCUGCUUGGCGUGGGAGGGAGAGGGACGGGUAAGGUUACACGAGUGAAACGUGACUACCUUUGCUCUCUUUCUCAGGUCAGAUAGCCUGCAGUUAGAUCUUAUCAGCCGAGAGCUGAAUUAAUCAUGGGCUGAGCGUUAUAACUGAAGGGAAUCGCUCAAACUGUGAGGGCAUGCUGCUACUCAGCUCGGUGCGAACUAAAGAACGAGGAGGAAUGAAAGGCGACCUCUGAUGAAGGCUGUAUUCAGCAUAUUAUCAGUGCCUCAGGGGACGGAAGAACCCAACGGAUCCUCCUUUAAGAACGAAAAGAUGCAGAUGUGAUGCAAGCUCAGCAAAAUCCCCGUGAUAAAUGGAGCCCCUUCCUAAUGGCUUACUUAUUUUAUCACUGGUUGCUGAACCGGUGCCUGCUUUACAGAUCUUCACAGAGUUUUACACACAUAUAUAAUGUACAUAUAUCUGGAUGAUCUGUAUUCGUACAGUGAAAAUCAAUAUGUAAUCAAAAUCUAGUAUUCCUGCAUACAUCUGGUUAAGAGUCCCUGCAUUUAGGGUUUAGAGGGUCACGGGAAGAUGGAAUGGUGAUCAUGAGAGCACUUUGGGAGGAGUUUGAAUUCAUUUUCACUGGAGAAAAAGAAGCAUUCUGCAGGUAACAGCUGGCAGUGUUAACCUAUUGUCAACACUGUCAGAAAUGAGAGGAGAUUUUUCUGUUUGUUUUAGUAAUAACCUAUGCACAGGCCCUGAUAAGUCCUGGACAACAGACAGCACUGUGUGUUCUUGAGCAGCCACUUCCUUCUUUGGCAGAAGUUAACAAUUACAGACCAGUAGUUUCCUAAUAAGACUUCAAACGGCACUCGAAUUAAAGAUAACUCCGUGAGGAUGUUUGGUUGACAGCCAUGGUGGUAUUCAUCUCACAGGGGCUGUGAGCACCCAGAAGCCCUCCGGUCGCUCUCAGUGCAGCCCUGCCCUGCGAAGCCUGGCAGCCACCCCAGCAGACAAUUACCAGUUUGGGGAUGCCAGAGCACUGAAGUCCUGUUUGGCUGCCUCUGCCCAGGCAACAUCCUUAUGGGACUGGAUUGUAUCAGCAAAUGAUGAGCAGGCACAUGGAUUGGCGUUAAUUCUUUUUCAGUGUGCUGUUCCUCCUGCUGCCAAGAGCUCAAUUGUCGCACAGAUACUGGAGAUCUAUUGCCUAUUCAGAAGGCAGAGUGAAUUAUUCUUUGGUAUUUGCAGAACUAUGGCAACAGCCAAAAAUGUAAGAGGUGUAUUCGGGAUGAGAUGACCAAGAGAGUGAACAAAGCAAGCAAGCUGUUACAAGUAAUCUCUGAAACUGCGUGGGACAUCGCAACGUCUGGGAUGUCUGCUGGCACUGCAGAAAAGGACCGGAUUGCGAUGGGAGCUUCCCAGUACAGAGAGCUGAGCUCCUGUGUGCUGUGUCUGGUCCUGCUUUGCCACGCUGGACCCAGAUGAAAGCUGCUCCCAUCACACAGCAGAUGAAUACCAACUUGCGGGCACAGCGAGGACACCACCAGGACAAAGCACAGAGCUCCUGGGCAGCGUCCCAGCUCUGAGCAGUGUGCAGCAGGCAGGUGGCUGCUGAGAAGUGGGAUUCCUUAGGUGUGGUGCAGCCGCAUCCACGUGCUGGCACUGCCCAUCCUGCUUGUUGACAUUGCAUGCACAAAUCACAGGUGUGACAUCCGUAUGUUUCCUAAACAAUGUGUUGAAAGCAUGGUGGCUCGGGAAGGAUUUGUACAGCAGAGAGCAAGU